CCUACUUAUUUUGGUGAAGUUAUCUGUACAGACAUCAAUAUGGGGACUACUCCACCCUCUAUCGUUGCAAUGAGGGUUCUUCCUAUGGAAAUGAAUGAUGUAUGCACCUUUGAGGCAGACAUUGAAUAUUCUGGAGGUGCAGUAGUAGAGAUUGAAACAAGGCUUGAAGUUGGUGAACCACAGAACGAUAAGGGGACGGAAUGCUCAAGCAAUGCUGGGGCUGCCCCGUCAGAUCUUGAAGAUCUUAGCAAUCAGUUGAAUCUUGGAGACGGAGUGAAUGAUUCACAAGAGCCAAAGUAGAUGUCAAUGGGAACACUGACGUGUCUAAAGUUUCUAGGAGUACAUCUUCCUCAUUUUACGGAUCAAAAUGGAAAUCUAUGUUAAAUUCUCUUGCCAAGCAUGUUUCACAGGAAGCAUUCCGAGAAACUUUAGUGCUCCCGAACUCUGAGUGCAUAAGCAUUUCAUGGAUGCUGGCUGAAAAGGAGAAUUGGAUUCCUCGGACUGUUGCUCCAUACAUGUGGGUUAAACAAGAAUGUGGACACGAUACCUCUGCUUCAAAUGAUAAAACUAGCAAGGAUAUCAGUUGAUGGUUCGGGGCUAACAUCCCAAAACCAACAUGGGGCCAAGUCUAUAGUAGAACCAGUUAGGAAAUCGUUUUCUUUCGGAUGAGCAUCGUCUUCCUCUUGUCCAAUAGUAUUAAAGAGCAGCCAAAGUUUUGACCAACUGUCAACACCUUUUCUAGAGGCUUACAUAAUGCAAGAAACUGAGGAUUUGAAAGAACUUCCAGCAUCUUCCAUAGAGAAUGAGAAUAGAGAUGAAACACGGGAAGAGAAGACGGAGGAUAUUACUGUCUAUGAACCACAAACACUCUAUUCUCUGCUUAUGGAUAAACAAGUUAGUCCAUCUAAACAGAAAAAAAUCGGGAAGAGGGAAAAGAUGUUUGAUUUGCAAAAGAGGAUGAGCGAGAAGUUGGAAGAAAAGAGGCGUCACUUUGUUGAAUGAGAAAAUGAGAACAAAAGUAGAGAUCAGAACUCUGAUUUCUGUUACUGAUUUGUUGAUCAUGUCAGAUAUUAGCAACCAUUCUUAAAGAAUCUUUUGAUUGAUGAAUUGUACAUCUUAUAGGUUCUUAGAAGAUCUAAUUUAACUAGAUGUAUACUUUACUAAGUGUCAGAAAUUACUGUUAAUGCAUUCCAUGGAGUUACAAAUCCACAGGGUAACAUAGAAGAUUCAUUUAAUUGUUGAUUAACAAAUUAUAUGACACAGACAUGCUAUAGAGA